rnacentral:rRNA from 1 species
CUGAAUUACAAAAACUAUGUUGUUCUGAGAGUAGUGAAAGGUGAACUUUCUACUUCUGAGUUGCUGGUUCAGUUAAAUGGAAUUUGCAAAAAUAAGGAGUGGCCCUAGCAGAUCAGAGAAUUGGAGGAGAAGAAAUUCUUGCUUAGAUUUCCUCCAUGGAAGAAUGUGGAAGACCUGAUUGAGUUCCUAGCGUUUAAUCUUCCUAUUGAUGGUGUUUCAGUUAAGAUCUGCGAGUGGGAAGGGAUGCUUGAUGAAUUUGGAGAACUAAAAGAAUCUUGGGUGGUUGUUGAUGGAAUUCCACCAAAAUGGUGUGCUUGGGAGGUUUUUGCGCAAGUUGCUGGAUGUUUUGGCAUCCUUGUGGAUGUGGAUUGGAAUGGCAUUUUCAAGUGCUCCUAUGAAACAAUCAGAAUCAAGAUAGCUUGUAGAGAUCCUUGCAAAUUUCCCUUUGAGAGACUGGUGGAGAUGAAGAAGAAACUCUACAUGUUAUUUUUCACUAUGGAGGGUUUUGAGCAAGUUGGUGAAGAAUCAGAUGGGAAUGAUGAGGAUCUUGGUCAAGACAAUGAAGAUGGAGGAAAAUAA